UUGGGGUCUGAUAUAAUUUGGGGUCUGAUCUAAAAAUAUACAGUUAUUAUUUAUGGCCAAAACACACUAUAUACAAGUAUAGUUAUCACGUAACACUUUUAUACAUAUACAUAGACACAUAUAUACAUUCACUCUGUUAUAGGGCAUAGUACGUAUCAGAAACUCCUUCAAAGGAAAGGUUAGAUCAGUAUUAUGCAGUCAAGGUCCACAGAGAUGAUCCCUACCUAAAAUUGGCCAGCCCUAAGUUGUCUGGGGCCUUUUUCCCAAUAGUUCAGGUAAACGUUCCAGUGAAGUUAUGAAGCAGGAACAAAAAAAAACACGUAGGGUAUAUGGGGUCCAGUGAAGAGUUCUUAGGGUGGGGUACAAGUAAAAUUAAUUUCCAAAAAUAGCACCAACAUUCAGGGGUCUUGCACAAGCAAGCAGUAGCAAAGCCACUAUUGUUAGAAUUAAGGUUUAUUAUAAGCCAUUUGACUUAUAAAGGGAGUAUAAGGGUAGGUUAGAAGCUGUGUUACUUACCCCCCAAACUCUGAUUCUUCCUCACACUUGGCAGGACAAAGCAAAAGUGUCUGAGAUUGCUUUUGCCACUGAAAGACACAGUCCUUCAUUCCCAAGGGUUGCAGGAUCGAGCUGAUCUCCGGUUGGUGUCUUUCACUGUUGCAAAGUACUCUCGAUGGAAGAAUGAAGCAAAACUCGAUGCAGGACCCCUCUCAGGACUGGACUUGGGGCAGGUAAGCAGUUUUCAGAUGGUGGUCACCGCAGCACAGUGAUGCAAAGGGACUCAGCAGCCGUGGUCGGACUUUCCCACCUAUCUCGGGUCCCCUCGAUGCUAGGAUGCUGACAUUUUGCAGUGGUUAGCCUUGUAGGGCCAGCUGAGGAUCCCCCAAGUUCCAGGCCUAAACUCAGAACAUUCAUGCAUACCACUAAGGCACAUUAAAACCAGUUUGUGGUUUGGGACUAGACAGUCCCAGCCCAUAUCCUGUCAGCAAACACACACAGCCCUCCAGUAAACCCACCAAAAGCCUUUGCUUUCCCCAGCACUGGAAGUCCUUAUAAGGAUUUUCCUGGCCUAAGAGGCCAGGAAGAAGGCUAAAGAACAAGAUGGCAAAAGGACAAGCGAAAAAUCUUGUGGCGCGGCCAUGUUUAUCCAGUAGCCACAGUUGGCAGCCAAACACGGUAAACACGGUAAGGCUAAAAUGAAAAUUCACAAAAAGUGGGAAAAGGUCACUGCUGCCACCAGUUUAUCCUUUUUAUGCACCUAGAGUAACCAAAAAUCCUCUGAGUGUUAGUCUAGGGCAAAACUAAAAUGUAUCUCAUUGUACUGCUGUGUAAGCUGUUGUGCACAAUGAUAAAAAUGUGCCACAAGUGAUACAAAAGUAACCAAAAGUAGUAACACAGUGGCAUGACUAAUGGAAACAAUGUUUCCCAGUACUGACAGCCUGAAGGACAUGUCAGUUUCCCCAUGACAUAUGAGCAAAAGCCAGUGCAGUGAAGCUUAAGGCUUCAAUGCACUGUAAAAAGUACAGGUCAGAUUCAAAAAUAAAAGCAAAUCGUUUGGGGGCUCCAUAAAGAUGGAAGGAAAGGUGCAGUAAAGAGAAAUCUUUCCCAACAGGCAUGUUGGAACAAUGUAGGUAAGGUAAGUCGGCAAGUCAGAUAUGGAAUUUCGGGAUAAGGAUUGGAUCUAAGAGUUGGGUCGGUCGGGCUAGAUCGCUAAGUGUGGUUGAGUGCGAGCCUCAGCUGUAUGAGGUGUCUCCCCACGGGGCGGUGCUGCCUCUGGAUGCGAUCCGGCCCCUUCCUGUGGAUUGCCCCACCUGCAGUGAUUGCUUCUCUCCAUUCCCCUCCGAGGGUUCAGGGCCGGCGUUCUGCCUCAGCCAAUGCCUAGCAGGUGAUUUAGGACUGGUCCAGACCAGGGGAAUUUGAUAUUUUAAUUAAAACAAAACAUUGUGAAGGCCAACAGAGGGUAUCGAUGCAAUUUGAUUUCUGCACAAUGCUCUGAAUGUCAAAGUGAAGAAAUUCAAUGAAGCUGGGUAAGCAGCUGUAGUAACUAUUACUCUCUUAAGGUAGCCAAAGGCCUUGUCAUCUAAUAAGUGACAAGCAUGAUUGGUUGAACGAGAUUUCCACUGUCCCUACCUACUAUCUAGAGAAACCACAGCCAAGGAAACAUACUUGGCAUAAUCAGUGGAGGCAGAAUACCCUGUUGAGAUUGACUCUAGUCUGGCACUGUGAAGAGAAAUGAGAAGUGUAGGAUAAGAGGGAGAGCCCUGUAGGGAUCUCGCUUAUGACUCCAAGCACCCGGUGCCCACCAGGCGUGACCCCCUCUGAGGGCAGUGGCAGGUGGGGAGUUUGACUGGGGCAGUAUGCCUGUCAAACGAUAAUGCAUGUGUCCUGAGGUGAGCUCAGGGAGGACAGAAACCUCCCGCGGAGCAGAAGGAAAAAAGCUUUCUUGAUCUCGAUUUUCAGUAUGAACACAGACCAUGAAAGCAGGGCCUCACAAUCCUUCUGACUUUUUGGGUUUCAAGCAGGAGGUGUCCGAAAAGUUACCACAUGGAUAACUGGCUUGUGGCAGCCAAGCGUUCAUAGCAAUGUCGCUUUUUUAUUCUUCAAUGUCGGCCCUUCCUCUCAUUAUGAAGCAGAAUUCACCAAGCGUUGGAUUGUUCAACCAAUAAUAGGGAACGUGAGCUGGGUUUAGACCAUUGUGAGACAGGUUUGUUUUACCCUACUGAUGAUGUGUUGUUGCAGUAGUAAUCCUGCUCAUUUCAAGAGGAACCGUAGGUUCAGACAUUUGGUCUAUGUGCUUGGCUGAGGAGAUAAUGGGGCAAAGCUACCAUCUGUAGAAUUAUGACUGAAUGCCUCUAAGUCGAAUCCCCCUUAAACUGUAACGAUACUGCAGCACUGUGGAACAUGGUUUAGGAUAGCCGGCCUCUGGGCUGGUGCGUACAGCCACUCACCUCAGGUCUCAAGUGUGGACAGAAGGGGGCCACCUUUCUCGCCCAUACUGCACUCUAUGUU
rnacentral:rRNA from 1 species